AUUGAACGCUGGCGGCAUGCCUUACACAUGCAAGUCGAGCGCGAAAGGGGGCAACCCCGAGUAGAGCGGCGGACGGGUGAGUAACACAUCGGAACGUGCCCAGUAGUGGGGGACAACCUCGAGAAAUCGAGGCUAAUACCGCAUACGACCCACGGGUGAAAGCGGGGGACCCAAAGGAAACUGAGGGCCUCGCGCUAUUGGAGCGGCCGAUGUCCGAUUAGCUAGUUGGCGGGGUAAGAGCCCACCAAGGCGACGAUCGGUAGCUGGUCUGAGAGGACGACCAGCCACACUGGGACUGAGACACGGCCCAGACUCCUACGGGAGGCAGCAGUGGGGAAUUUUGGACAAUGGGGGCAACCCUGAUCCAGCCAUGCCGCGUGCGGGAAGAAGGCCUCGGUUGUAA
rnacentral:rRNA from 1 species